rnacentral:rRNA from 1 species
GAUGAACGCUGGCGGCGUGCCUAAUACAUGCAAGUCGAGCGAACAGACAAGAAGCUUGCUUCUCUGACGUUAGCGGCGGACGGGUGAGUAACACGUGGGUAACCUACCUAUAAGACUGGGAUAACUUCGGGAAACCGGAGCUAAUACCGGAUGACAUUUUGAACCGCAUGGUUCAAAAGUGAAAGACGGUCUUGCUGUCACUUAUAGAUGGAUCCGCGCUGCAUUAGCUAGUUGGUAAGGUAACGGCUUACCAAGGCAACGAUGCAUAGCCGACCUGAGAGGGUGAUCGGCCACACUGGAACUGAGACACGGUCCAGACUCCUACGGGAGGCAGCAGUAGGGAAUCUUCCGCAAUGGGCGAAAGCCUGACGGAGCAACGCCGCGUGAGUGAUGAAGGUCUUCGGAUCGUAAAACUCUGUUAUUAGGGAAGAACAUAUGUGUAAGUAACUGUGCACGUCUUGACGGUACCUAAUCAGAAAGCCACGGCUAACUACGUG